UUAAGAGAAAUGGCGCCACUGAAGGACAAUAGAAAGAACAUUCUGAUUUGGCGAACUAGUACUAAGUUAUAUUUAGAUACAUGCAAUUCUGUUUACCGCAUAAUAUGACUUGAUAAAUUAGCUACGAAAGCGUUUGUAAAAAUAUAUUGCCGACAUUGUAAAGAUAUUACCGCCUGUUUCAUAAUCUCUGUUAACUACUCUGCCUUUACCUUUUCCAAUGUUGCAAAUUCAAUCUAAUGUUAUUUUAAUUUUAAUUUCAUUUGAAAAGAUACAUUUUUCAGAACAACAUUUUUGCAUCUCACAACAAAAAAGGUGAAAUUUGACAUGGAACAAAGGACAUACAUUAUAUUUGGAAUGUUGAAUGUUGUAAACUAGUAAGUUUUUCCGUCUUCAAAAUUUAAAACUCUCUUGGAAAAUCUGUCUCAAGAUGGGAAAAAAAGAACAAUCCUAUUGUUUUCUCCUUGAGACAAAAAUGAUUAAGGAAACCAUGGAUGGUUAUUAUGAUAUUUACAAACAGGAAUAAUUUUGUUUUGAGAUACAUAGGUUUUAUGUUUUUUAACAGAAAGAAAAUGUGUUGGUACCGUGAUUCUGUCGCUUUGUGUAGCUGUGCUGGUCGUCUAUGCAGUUGUUACAACUAUUUUACUUGUCAGGAAACGACAAAACGGAAAACAGCGACAGGAAGUUACUUUACGUUCAAGGGAUGCAGUUGAAUAUAACCAUGAAACAGCAGCUUGUAGAAUUAUAGAAGACUCAGGUUAUGUGUAUGCAGAGCCAACUGAAGACCAGACUGAGGAAGGACCUUCAGUAAACACAGAACGCGGUGCAGUCGGCCGAGAAGGCAUCAGAACAAACAGUUACAUGUAUAUUCAUCCGAUAUAUUCUGUUUCGCAAAACACAAAUGAAUACGAAGAGAUUGAUAAUAAAAUGUUUCCGUCCGGAUCAAGUUUAAGGAAAAUGAAAACUGAUAAAAUUGCGUGAUAUUUCUAAAAAUGUUUAAUGGAACAAAUGUUCUAUUUUCACGUUAGAAAAUCGAUCAAUUUGUUUGUCUUUUUAUAUGAAUAUUUUAGAAACCAGACAACGGUCUUGUUUAGAAUAUGUUUCAUUUAUCUGUUUUACCAAAGAGGUAAAGGGAAAGAAUAUUGAUUCAAUUUAUCACUGAAAUAACGCUUUCAUAAAACCUCUUCCUCUUAUUUUAUCUCGCAAACGUGCUUGCUUGUGUGCAUAUCUGACAGGAUCUCUUUAUGCGUAUAUGUCAGAACCUACAAUAUAACUAACCGUGAUAUAGCUGACCAGUAGAUUCUCAUAACACUGGAUACAGGGUAUUACCGUAUUUGUUCAAAAGCUUCAUAGUAUGAAAUAUUGUUUUCGAUGUUAUCACAUUAGAGUAAGGAUAUAUUGUCGCAUCAUCUAAACGAGAAUUGUUUUAUACUUGCUCUGAGUAUUCAUGUGAUCAGGAGAAUCGUAAUAUGAAACGGAAAAAGACGCAUGUUCACAUAUCCAGUUGCGACCAUUUAUAUUUUUUGAAAAGACUGAGGGUAGAAAGUAACGCCUUGGAUAAAUAGUUGUAUGGAAAUAAAGAUGACACAGAUUUUAUACAGAAUAACUGUUUGACCUUAAACUUACUUUAAGACAAAACAAUGAAAAUAACUAAAAAGUAUCCGAUUUAAGAAUUCAUUUUAAUUUGAUUUUGUGGUUUACUUCAAUAUCAUAUGUAUUGUAUUCUCGAUAUUGACAGGAUACAAAAUUCGGUCCUUUUUAAUGUAAAAGUAUAAAAGAGAAAAGGA